rnacentral:rRNA from 1 species
AUGUUCUUUUCUCCCUUUAUGCUUGAUAUUUGCAUUGUAGGAUUUAUUGGUUUAAUCAUGUUCUUGAGAAUAUUUCGUCUGGCAAAUCAUAUUCUAUCUAUGUAUGCAUAUCAAAAGAUUGGAACAUUUUAUCUUGGGUGUUGCUUCUGUCAAUAUAGUUGGAGCAUAUCCUGCAUAUACACAUACUGGGGUAAGGCAUCUACAGUUCUUUGUGCCGCACUAGUCAAACUGCUAGGUAAUAAAUCAAUAAAUGCUUACUCAAGUGGUCGAUUCUUAAGUAAUGUCACAGCAUGCUAUUCACUAAUUUAUCUACUUUAA